rnacentral:rRNA from 1 species
GACGAACGCUGGCGGCGUGCCUAAUACAUGCAAGUAGAACGCUGAAGAGAGGAGCUUGCUCUUCUUGGAUGAGUUGCGAACGGGUGAGUAACGCGUAGGUAACCUGUCUUGUAGCGGGGGAUAACUAUUGGAAACGAUAGCUAAUACCGCAUAACAAUGGAUGACUCAUGUCAUUUAUUUGAAAGGGGCAAAUGCUCCACUACAAGAUGGACCUGCGUUGUAUUAGCUAGUAGGUGAGGUAACGGCUCACCUAGGCGACGAUACAUAGCCGACCUGAGAGGGUGAUCGGCCACACUGUGACUGAGACACGGCCCAGACUCCUACGGGAGGCAGCAGUAGGGAAUCUUCGGCAAUGGGGGCAACCCUGACCGAGCAACGCCGCGUGAGUGAAGAAGGUUCUCGGAUCGUAAAGCUCUGUUGUAAGUCAAGAACGAGUGCGAGAGUGGAAAGUUCACACUGUGACGGUAGCUUACCAGAAAGGGACGGCUAACUACGUGCCAGCCGCCGCCGUAA